GGGGGGUGUCUGACCCUCGGUCUACCGCUUGCUGAGACCCCCUUCCCCCUCGGGUCAGAGGCGCCUUUGCGCUCCGGUUCUUAGCCUUCUCUUGGUGCCCCGGCGACGGGUUAGCAUCCCUGAGGCAGCCUCUUACCGUUGGCUGCCUGGGAGCCGUCCGCUCUGCUAGCAAAGCCGGCUGUGUUGAGGACUGCCCUUCCGGAGACCCCGGCGUGUGUCAUCGGUCUGCCUGCGGGGGACCACCUGCGGGGCAGAAGGGGCCUAGAAGGCUUCGUCGUGGUGUGCGAAAGAUGACACAGAGACAUAGAGAGGGAAAGGCCCUGAGACAUGGAGAAGUCGAGACCCAGUUACCACCGAGAAGUGAAGUCCCAGACACAUGUACCUGGUGAACCCAUACCAGCUGAGGGACCAGUCAUUGAGGGAAGAAGCCACCUAGGUUGUCCCAGCCAUCUGAGCUUUCCUCAUUACUUGGAACAGAGGGAAAUACUGCAAUCUUCUUUCUCCUUUACUGUUGUCAAAGAGUCUCCUGCACUUUAUACUUUUGCAUGAUGGAAUUAAAGAUGGCUACAAAUUGUUUUGCACUCCUUCCAUGGAAAGAUGGGGACUAAUUCCCCCAACUCCUUGAAUCUGGGCUGGUCUUAGUGUUUGUUGCACCAGUAGACUGUGGUGGAAGUGAAAUACUGAAACUUCUGAAUCAAGGUCCAAGAAGUUUUGCUGCUUCUUUCUGAGUGCCUUCGAACACUUGCUCUGAGCUGAACACCAGCUGCCAUAAAAGAAGCCCAGCUAAUCUGAUACUGCCAUAUUGUAAGGAAGCAGCUGCAGCCAUUCCGGACCCUAGCCGUUCCGUUCUUCCCAGUUAAGGCCCCAGACACUAAUGAAGCAGAGGGGGUGCCACCUCUGCUAACCCACCCAAACCGCGGAUACAUGAGCAAAAUAAAUAAAUGUACUUCUCUAA